GUGGGGUGACUGCGUACCUUUUGUAUAAUGGGUCAGCGACUUAUAUUCUGUAGCAAGGUUAACCGAAUAGGGGAGCCGGAGGGAAACCGAGUCUUAAUUGGGCGUUAAGUUGCAGGGUAUAGACCCGAAACCCGGUGAUCUAGCCA
rnacentral:rRNA from 1 species